AACGAACGCUGGCGGCGUGCCUAACACAUGCAAGUCGAACGUGAUUGGGGAGCUUGCUCCUCAUGAAAGCGGCGCACGGGUGAGUAACGCGUAGAUAAUCUACCUGAUGAUUCGGGAUAACACUUCGAAAGGGGUGCUAAUACGGGAUAAGCCCACGGAGUCUUUGGACACUGCGGGAAAAGGAGGGGACCUUCGGGCCUUCCGUCAUCAGAUGAGUCUGCGUACCAUUAGCUAGUUGGUAGGGUAAAGGCCUACCAAGGCGACGAUGGUUAGCUGGUCUGAGAGGAUGAUCAGCCACACUGGAACUGAGACACGGUCCAGACUCCUACGGGAGGCAGCAGUGGGGAAUUUUGCGCAAUGGGGGAAACCCUGACGCAGCAACGCCGCGUGAGUGAUGAAGGCCCUUGGGUCGUAAAGCUCUGACAGAGGGAAAGAAAUGUGGGUGGCUAAUAUCCAUUCCACUUGACGGUACCCUCAAAGGAAGCACCGGCUAACUCCGUGCCAGCAGCCGCCGUAAUAC
rnacentral:rRNA from 1 species